AGUGAACGCUGGCGGUAGGCCUAACACAUGCAAGUCGAACGGCAGCACAGUAAGAGCUUGCUCUUACGGGUGGCGAGUGGCGGACGGGUGAGGAAUACAUCGGAAUCUACUUUUUCGUGGGGGAUAACGUAGGGAAACUUACGCUAAUACCGCAUACGACCUACGGGUGAAAGCAGGGGAUCUUCGGACCUUGCGCGAUUGAAUGAGCCGAUGUGGGAUUAGCUAGUUGGCGGGGUAAAGGCCCACCAAGGCGACGAUCCGUAGCUGGUCUGAGAGGAUGAUCGCCCACACUGGAACUGAGACACGGUCCAGACUCCUACGGGAGGCAGCAGUGGGGAAUAUUGGACAAUGGGCGCAAGCCUGAUCCAGCCAUACCGCGUGGGUGAAGAAGGCCUUCGGGUUGUAAAGCCCUUUUGUUGGGAAAGAAAAGCAGCAGGUUAAUACCCCGCUGUUCUGACGGUACCCAAAGAAUAAGCACCGGCUAACUUCGUG
rnacentral:rRNA from 1 species